rnacentral:rRNA from 1 species
AAUCCAGACUCCUACGGGAGGCAGCAGUGGGGAAUAUUGCACAAUGGGGGAAACCCUGAUGCAGCGACGCCGCGUGAGUGAAGAAGUAUUUCGGUAUGUAAAGCUCUAUCAGCAGGGAAGAUAAUGACGGUACCUGAGUAAGAAGCCCCGGCUAACUACGUGCCAGCAGCCGCGGUAAUACGUAGGGGGCAAGCGUUAUCCGGAUUUACUGGGUGUAAAGGGAGCGUAGACGGCAUGGCAAGUCUGAAGUGAAAGCCCGGGGCUCAACCGCGGGACUGCUUUGGAAACUGUUAAGCUGGAGUGCAGGAGAGGUAAGUGGAAUCCCUAGUGUAGCGGUGAAAUGCGUAGAUAUUAGGAGGAACACCAGUGGCGAAGGCGGCUUACUGGACUGUAACUGACGUUGAGGCUCGAAAGCGUGGGGAGCAAACAGGAUUAGAUACCCUGUA